AGCACUGAGUAUAAUGGGAAUUGCCUUAAAAAAUAAAAAUAAAAGACAAACAUGUAAGAUCUCCUACCACUAAACAUUGAUAUAAAAUUCCCCCAGCUUAACCCACAAAUUAAAUUUAUUUCUUCAUUUAUAUUUUAAAAGUCAAAACAAUUGGAUUAUGUCAUUAUGUAUUAUUAAUGACAAAUUGCAUUGAAAAUUUUUAUUACUUACAGGAUUUUCAAAUUUGAUUCUAAAUAUAUGACCCCUAGUUUUAUAUUUUAGAUAAUACACAAAAGCAAAUAAAAUAUUUUUUAUAAGAUAAUCCAUUACCCCUAAUUAAGUGAUCUUAUAUUGUUUUAACCAACACAAACUCAAUUCAUGCUACUAUAAUUCAGUUACUAAGGAAUUACUCUGUUAUGAAUUGACAUAAAAAUUUCAAAAGUAAGUGGACAUACUUUGAUUGCAGGAGAAGCUGCUAUUUCCACCAACAGAGAAACCAGGAAGAAUCCUUUACUGCAGUCCUCACCAGGAAAUGAGAACAAAAUGUCCAUGUUGCUAAGAAAAUCAGGUGAUCAAACUCAGGACCUCACCCAUGAUAGGCAAAUGCUCUGGAAACUAUAACCAGACACUGGGAUUGUUUACAUUAAAUAUCAAUUGGAUUUCAUUUUCACUCAUGUUGCAUAAGAAAUACCAGAAAAUCUCCAUACCUUUCGGACAUCUCCAUCACCUCGAUCCCACACGUAUGCCAUGGUAAUGUAUCCCAGAACCAAAUGUGCGAGUCGCUGUGACUUAUGUCCUUGGAGCUCAUCAAUGCUGAGCAGUGGUAUCUGAGAACAAAUGGAGAGACUUGACCCAAUUCACUCUUGAUCCAAUUUCUAAUUUAGGCUUAGAAAUCAACUUAAAAAUGUUAAGCAACCAUACAAGAAGACAAAUGUAAUAUGUAUUUCAAACCUUCUCAACUUCUGCUCGAAGUUGGCCAUUCUCAAUCAGUUCAGGAAGAUUUUUAGCAAUGAAAAUCCAGGCGUCAUAAUCAUGAGGUAGUUCCUCCUUGAAAGAAAAAAAUAGGACUUUGAUUUGCUAGUGGAAGUUACUGUAAAAUAUUGUUGGUUUCCUGAGGAUGACUCCCCUUGCUUCUAAGUACAUUUUGUGCAUCAUUGCCCCAACAAACCUGUACUUGUCUGAAAACACCAGCCUGUGCUUUGUCACCUGACAAACAGGGCUCAAGCUCUUCUCUGUUUUCCACCUCUUCUCUCUUUAAGCACUUUCAUUUUGCAUCCUUUUCAAAAUUCAACCCAACAGAUGCUCUAAAACCUUCCUUAGUAUACCAUUCAACAUCAAUCUUCUCCAUUAUAAAUCCUAUGGAGUAUACCUUACAUGUCAUUAUUAAGUAAUCUUGUGUUUUAUAUUUUUUUCCAUUUCAACUAGAUUUUAAGUUCUUUGAACAGAAGAAAAUCUCAUUAGUGGAUUGGGCUUUCUGCUCACUAAUUUCAUAUGCAUUUCUCAUUUAAUUCUUGUAAUUGCCCCAAAAGUUGUCUCUAUGUCAUAAAUAAAAAGAACCUGGUCUCAGUUUACAUAACUUGUGACACACACACACACACACACACACACACUUGUAAUUCAGACAUAUAUAUUUCCAAUUUCAGAAUCCAUAGUCUUUUUAUGUCUUAAUAUUUGAUGACAAGGAUUAUAAUGUGCAAAUUAUUUUAAAUUUAUAUCUUUUUCAAGAACUGAAAUACACCUGGAAAUAUAGAAGAAACUGUAUAGGAUAAAGUCUCUUAUGCUUCUAGCAAAUGUUUCAAGACUCCCAGUUGAUGCCUAAAACUGCAAAUAGCACUUAACCACUAUGCAUUUUCCCUAUAUCUACAUCCUAUGAUAAACUUAAUACCUUUUUCAUUUGAAGUAAGCACUUACUAUGCUCUUUGGUGAUAACUUUUGCAGUUUUAGGUGUGACAGCAAAAACAACUUGAAUAGUUUCUUCACAAUUUCACUGAUACAUUUGUUCUUACCAUAGAGCUUAACAACACAGCAAUUUUUUUUCUUUAUUAAAUCAAGAACUUUCACCUUUUCACUUUAUGGAAGCACAUUAAACUCCUCUUUGGAAUAUCUAAAUUGUCCAGAGACGUCACUACUCUUGUGCUUUGGGGUUAUUAGUAAGAAAAAUAAGGGUUGCAAAACAAGCACUGCAAAACUUUGACAGUCCAUCUCAUAACCUGGGCACUACUGAGUUACUAACAGGUAGGUGAGUUUAUAGCAUGAAUACACUGGAAAAAGAGAUGACUCAUGUCCUGGGAGGGAUGGAAUGGAGUGGUGUGAAGUUUCAUUAUAAGACUCAAAAACAGUGAGCAAUUUAAUGCUCAUAAAUUGUUUACUUAUGGCGUUUUCCAUUUUACUUUGAGACUAUGGUUGACUGCAGGUCACUGAAGCAAACGAAAGCAAAAACAUAGAGAGUGGACUACUGUAUGCAUGUAAAUUGCCUACUUUGGUUCCACUAUAGGCUUGAUUUUUGCCCAACAAAUACAAAUGAAAUUCAAAUAAAAGUGUCUUCUUGAUCUGAUCAUAUUUUUUUAUCACAUAUCAAAGGAAAAUAUACAGCCAGGUGCCGAACGGCAUCUAGAGAUGUGGCUCAGUGGCUAAGCACCUCUGAAUUCAAUUCCUAAUACCCCCCUAAACAGCAAACAAAACCCAAAGGGAAACACAAACGCAAGACCUAGGCAAAAUCCUGAAGUGAGGCACAGGCAGAAGUCUGAACAACUUCCUGUAUACCCUGCCCUAAUGCCUCAUUCAGGUUGCUUCAAAGUGAGCCUUUUGGGUUAUCAGUAAUGGACUGUGGUGACUGAAGACAAAUGGCUUAACUUUAUUCCACAUGGGUAAGGCUUCGAACUUUAAAACCAAGUUAAGACUGUAAGUGAACUGUAAAGCAAAAUAACCGAUAUAAAUAAAAUUCACAGAGAUUCUUCAGCUACAUCCCUGUGUUUGGACGCAGUGUGUGUGAAAGCCCUGAGGUCUCCAGGAGCCACGGGGGGCGGGGGGGGAGGUGUCAGGGUUCAUAAAUUGCACACAAUUGUAGAUGUGGUCACUCUGGCAGUGACAGUGAUGGCGCUGGAAACGGAGCACAAUGGAGUUUCCACAGCAGCAGCGGCGCACCUUGGGACCCAACAGCGGCUUGGGCGACUGGGAGAGUCCACCGCCGCCGGGGCAUGAAGCCUGGACCCAGGCCAGAUCAAGGAGGCGAAACUGCAGCUGAUUCCAAUGCCCGACCUGCGGAGCCAGGCAGCUGCUUCCCCGCCAGGGUACUCAGCCAGAGGGACCGCGCUGUGACUCCGCCCCCAACACGCCCACUUCUAGCGGUGGCUCAGCUGCUGCGCGCCUGGGUGAGGUAGGGCGGCUGCUUGGGCGGGUUAUUCCAGAAACUUGCGGCUGUGUCCGCCGCUGAGCGUGAUUGUGGGCAACUGGACUGACGGUGAAACUUGGGCGGAUUAGGCAGAGGUUGGAACCUUUAGGGAAGCUGUUUGGGCCUAUUACACUGCUUAGCUAAUUAACCUGAUCCCGUAAGCAGCAGAAAAGGCAGCAUAGCUCCGCCCUCAAUGUGGGACCCGCCUGUGGCAUCCUGGGAUCUGGGGUUUGUGCGGGGAGACAGUGCAAACUCCUUCUCUAGAGCCAAGCUAUCGUGCACGCUCCAGAAAGUCCCUCUAACUGGGCUCCAAGCUUGUCCCCCGUGUCGCUAAGGUUGCCAAUGUCGAUGGCAAGGUUGCCUUUGCUGAUGGCCACAGAGGUGUGCUGGGACUUUACCCCUUUCCUUGACCUGGGUCGCACUUUUCGGUGAGCUUUAUACCAUACUCUCCACUCUCCCAAGACUGUAUCUUACAGGGUUCUUGUCUCUAACUUGCUGGGUUCCAAAAUCACUCACCUCAAAAUUCAGCUUUUAAUUGUUAUGCUGGUGCUUCUUUGUGAAAGAGGUGAGUGCUGGGCACCUCUGUAUGACUAUCUUGCCCUCUGACUCUAAAUGUGUGAUUAUUAAAAUAUUAAUGAUAAAUA